UACGUAGGGUGCGAGCGUUAAUCGGAAUUACUGGGCGUAAAGCGUGCGCAGGCGGUUCGUUGUGUCGGUGGUGAAAGCCCCGGGCUUAACCUGGGAAUGGCCAUGGAAACUGGCGAACUGGAGUGUGGCAGAGGGGGGUGGGAAUUCCGCGUGUAGCAGUGAAAUGCGUAGAGAUGCGGAGGAACACCGAUGGCGAAGGCAGCCCCCUGGGCUAGCACUGACGCUCAGGCACGAAAGCGUGGGGAGCAAACAGG
rnacentral:rRNA from 1 species